rnacentral:rRNA from 1 species
CCCUUAGAUGUCCUGGGCUGCACGCGCGCUACACUGGAAGUUACGGACUGAGAUACUACCUUGUCCGAAAUGGUCCGGGUAAUCACCUAAAAGCUUGUCAUAAUUGGAAUGGAUUAUUGUAACUAGUAAUCCUGAACGAGGAAUUCCUAGUAAGUCCCAGUCAACAGCUGGUACUGAUUACGUCCCUGCCCUUUGUACACACCGCCCGUCGCUACUACUGAUUGGACGUUUAAGCAAGAUUUUUAAACACUGACAGUGUGUAGUUCACGCUAUACUACAGUGAGAAGAAGAAGAUCGAGCUUACUUGUCUAGAGGAAGUAAAAGUCGUAACA